rnacentral:rRNA from 1 species
CCCUUAGAUGUUCUGGGCCGCACGCGCGCUACACUGACGAAUGCAACGAGCUUAUAACCUUGGCCGAAAGGUCUGGGUAAUCUCCAAAUUUCGUCGUGAUGGGGAUAGAUUAUUGCAAUUAUUAAUCUUCAACGAGGAAUGCCUAGUAAGCGCAAGUCAUCAGCUUGCGUUGAUUACAUCCCUGCCCUUUGUACACACCGCCCGUCGCUCCUACCGAUUGAAUGGUCCGGUGAAGCGCUCGGACCGCGGCCUCUUGACGGUUUUCCGUCGAUUGGCUGUGGGAAGUUCGUUAAACCUUAUCAUUUAGAGGAAGGAGAAGUCGUAACA